rnacentral:lncRNA from 1 species
AUGAGAGCGCGUGUGUGUGCGCGCGCGCGGGCUGGCGGGCGCGUGUGCGCGUGUCUGCGCGCUCAGCCGCUCGGCGCGCUCGGCAAUCGAUUACAGGACAAGUGCUGCCCCGGCUGCUUCGCGACGGGCGCAAUCUCUCGCGCCCAUCCGUGCGCCCGGCCGCGUCGCCCCCGGUCCGUAGGUCCCCGGACGGCGGACCCACCUCUGACGGGGGCCCAGUCAUUCCACAACCACAAGGUUAACCAAGCUUGGAAUAAACUUGCCACAAUAGAAAGAAACUUAGAGAAACAAAACUGCUCCUUGGUGAAUACCGUAGAGCUGCUGGAUCAAGCAUUGCCUGCAACUUCCAUUGCUAGUGGCCCUUUUAGUUUAGCACAGAUACAAUUUCCUGUGUGGCACUCAGUAUCUACAAGACCUAAGAUGUGCCUAAAGAGGUAUGGUACUAUUUUGAGGUAA